rnacentral:rRNA from 1 species
UACGGAAGGGGCGAGCGUUGUUCGGAAUCAUUGGGCGUAAAGGGCGCGUAGGUGGUUCUGUAUGUCUACCGUGAAAGCGUACGGCUCAACCGUAUUUUGUCGGUAGAAACUGCAGGACUUGAGGCUGGGAGGGGCUGGCGGAAUUCCCUGUGUAGCGGUGAAAUGCGUAGAUAUCAGGAGGAACACCGGUGGUGUAGACGGCUUUCUGGACCGUAACUGACGCUGAAACACGAAAGCGUGGGUAGCAAACAGG